rnacentral:rRNA from 1 species
GUUGACCUCGGAUCAGGUAGGAAUACCCGCUGAACUUAAGCAUAUCAAUAAGCGGAGGAAAAGAAACCAACAGGGAUUGCCUCAGUAACGGCGAGUGAAGCGGCAACAGCUCAAAUUUGAAAUCUGCCCCCCCGGGCCGAGUUGUAAUUUGCAGAGGAUGCUUUUGGCGAGGUGCCUUCCGAGUUCCCUGGAACGGGACGCCAUAGAGGGUGAGAGCCCCGUCUGGUCGGACACCAAGCCUCUGUAAAGCUCCUUCGACGAGUCGAGUAGUUUGGGAAUGCUGCUCAAAAUGGGAGGUAUAUGUCUUCUAAAGCUAAAUACCGGCCAGAGACCGAUAGCGCACAAGUAGAGUGAUCGAAAGAUGAAAAGCACUUUGAAAAGAGAGUUAAAUAGCACGUGAAAUUGUUGAAAGGGAAGCGUUUAUGACCAGACUUGGCCCGGUUGAUCAUCCAGCGUUCUCGCUGGUGCACUCUGCCGGUCCAGGCCAGCAUCAGUUCGCUCCGGGGGAUAAAGGUUUCGGGAAUGUGGCUCCCUUCGGGGAGUGUUAUAGCCCGUUGCGUAAUACCCUGGGGUGGACUGAGGUCCGCGCUUCUGCAAGGAUGCUGGCGUAAUGGUCAUCAACGAC